rnacentral:rRNA from 1 species
UACGUAGGGGGCAAGCGUUGUCCGGAUUUAUUGGGCGUAAAGAGCGUGUAGGCGGCUAAAUAGGUCCGUUGUGAAAACUCGAGGCUCAACCUCGAGAUGCCGAUGGAAACCAUUUGGCUAGAGUCCGGAAGAGGAGAGUGGAAUUCCUGGUGUAGCGGUGAAAUGCGCAGAUAUCAGGAAGAACACCCGUGGCUAAGGCGGCUCUCUAGUACGGUACUGACGCUGAGACGCGAAAGCGUGGGGAGCGAACAGG